UCCGGCUUAUCACCGGCAGUUUCCUUAGAGUGCCCAACUGAAUGAUGGCAACAAAGGAUGAGGGUUGCGCUCGUUGCGGGACUUAACCCAACAUCUCACGACACGAGCUGACGACAGCCAUGCAGCACCUGUGCAUCUUCCGGCCGAACCGACUCCCCCUUUUCGGGGGGAUAUGAAGAGCAUGUCAAACCCUGGUAAGGUUCUUCGCGUUGCCUCGAAUUAAACCACAUGUUCCACCGCUUGUGCGGGUCCCCGUCAAUUUCUUUGAGUUUUAAUCUUGCGACCGUACUCCCCAGGCGGGGUGCUUAAUGCGUUAGCUGCGCCACUUGAGGGGAACCCCCAAACAGCUAGCACCCAUCGUUUACAGCGUGGACUAC
rnacentral:misc_RNA from 1 species